rfam:Triticum aestivum genome assembly, contig: Triticum_aestivum_CS42_TGACv1_scaffold_080218_1DS
CUUAUACUCCCUCCAUCCAGAAAUACAUGUUGAAGCAAUGGAUGUAUCUAGUCAAAUUUUAAUUCUAGAUACAUCCAUUUUGAUCUAUUUUCGACACAAGUAUUUCCGGACGGAGGGAGUAUAUU